UUACUGUUGACAAAACGUCUCAUACGUAUACCAUUAGACGCAUACUGUACACCUUAACUACUGUAUGUAAAUUGAAACUGUAUUAACAAAGCAAUAAGUGAAGUAACGUAGGAGUAGUGGUGAGGAUACAUCAAGGAAGAAUCUUGGAAGUUGGAAACAUUACCUUCUAGUGGUUUGGUGCAUAGAUUAACGUCUGCUAAGGUAAGGGACGCCCAGGUUUAGGUCGUAUAUCUAGGUCCUUGAAUUAUAAAUUCCCGCCAAUCUCUAUGGGCCCUAGAACAAUAAAUAAACACGUUGAGUUGUCUGGCAACAAUACCACACCCGCAAAAAGUACUAGAGGACACGAAAGACAUACUAAAUACUGUAGUGGAAACAUAUGUUAUUUGUCAUUAUUUUAGGGUACAGUACUGAGCACAACAUGGUGUAGUGGUAGGAUUGUGACAGCGUAUAUGUGGUAAAACUGUACCGUGUAAAUUUGUGCCUUACUGAGCUUACUCAAUAGCAUAUGUCAAGUGCCUACUCCUAAAAAAGUGUCUCGUGAAUAAUAUCUACAUAUUUGAGUACAAUAAAUGUUAAAAUAAGUGUAGAAUUAUGUAAAUUUAUGUUUUCUUUAUGCAAGUGAUGUCUGAAAUUCACCAUGGCAUGUUUGCUGUACAGCACGAGGCGUCUCUGAUGUUCACAUUCCAUUUAGAAUAAAAAAAUUAUGUUUGAA